rfam:Oryza sativa Japonica Group DNA, chromosome 4, cultivar: Nipponbare, complete sequence.
AAUAAGUGCAGAUUUACACUAUUCACAUUCAACGUUAACGUUCGUCUUAUUUGAAUUUUUUUAUGAUUAGUAUUUUAUUGCUAUUAGAUGAUAAAACAUGAAUAAUAUUUUAUGUGUGAAUAAAUAUUUUUAAAUUUUUCAUAAUUUUUUAAAAUAAGACGAACGGUCAAACAUUGGGCACGGAUAUGUACGGCUACACUUAUU